rnacentral:lncRNA from 1 species
GCCAUAUGAUAAUUCUUGGAAGGGUUGAUAGACGCGGUUGCGGUUGGUCCUUUCUCCUGGACAGCCCUUGGAAAGGAAGUGGUAGAGAGGAGCUGGAGGAAGCCUCGGAAGUCACAGCAGGUCUAGAAGAUGAGCACACUCAAGAGAGCCAACAACUGCUUUUGCCUGCACACUGCAGCCAGGAUCCACCUUCUUUCUUUCCAUAAACACUAUCUUAGUUCAAGGCUUAUUUGCCAAUGCUUUGGACUGGUUCUGUCUCCUGUUUGGACUUCUGCCUGAGGAAGCCUCAGCUGCCUAUCACCGCUGCCUAAUACACUUCCAACUGGAUUUGAUGCCCCGUCCUGCUCUCUCAGGAAUCCCGCGCCAUGUUGGAACAGGUCAUGCUCUUCCCACUUGGGAGCCUUAGCCCAUGCCAGAGUCGCCUCCCCUCUCCUCCCGUGGCUGUCAGCCCCUCAGAAGGCUCCACGGAGCCUGCAGCAGGCAUCCUCCCUCUGAAGAUUAAAGGUAUCAGCCUAUCCGCUCGACGGCUUAGCCCAGGGCCUGCAGAACUGAACACUCAGAAACUUCUAAAAGGCAGCUGCUGUGGUCUCACAUCUCCCUUCUCCCCGCAAAUGUGUAAAUAAAGAAACACCCCUUUGCCUUUCAUUCAUGGCAGGCUGAACUCGCCCUGAGCUGGGCUGAGUGGCCAGGGCCUUUGGGGCCGAAAUGGCUGGACUCAGAGCGUGGACCUACAAGGAGAAAGCAAGGCAAAGCAAGCAGACGUCCUGGGGAGGUCGGAGCACCUGGUCCAGCAGGGGCAACCAAACAACUCCAGCCUCGACAGGACCCUCAGACAGGAGAGGGGAGUCCGCGUACUACCACUGUGGGACCUGGCUUUACUCAUCCUGGGGUUCUUGUGCUGGAAACCAGGCUCUGGCAUCAACCUCUCAGAGACUAACAACCCCAAACAGAGCACCUCCGACUCCAUGAUAGAAACGCUGGGCGUCAGAAAGCCAUGUUCUCAGCAGCACGAGGUUCUGUCAAAAGUGGUGCAGUGAGAACUCACACCCCAUCAGAUCUGGCUCCUGGAGCAGAGUCACAUGCACAGGCAGCACUGCCUGAGUGGCAGCAGGAUGCCCGUGACACUCCACCACCACCACUGCUAUAGCUGCCGUUACUUUGCACAGCACGGACAAUAUCUCCAGCCUCCACGGU